UGGUGCUAUACAUGUCUUAUUUUGCUCCAUAUGUGUAUGCAUUACAGUGAGAAAGUUACUGCUACUAUUUUGAGUAUAUAGACCAUGGUUUUUUGCUUAAUUUUGCUUGUUUCUUGAGUAGUUUACUCCUCAUGAUUUGGUUGACAAUAUUUGUUAUUUGAUUAACUAGAGAUUGAUAUAACUAUUGUUUUGCCAUUUAUCAGGUUCAAUUGCCAUUUAUUUUCUGUGUUUCUUGUACAAUGCCUCGACUUAUGCAUUCUAUAAGGAAGAAAAAGCUAAAACAAAUACAAAUAGUAAUUGCAAUGGUUAUUAUUAUGUUGAUGAUGUAUUGGAUGUGGUAUAUAAUUAGCGUUGUUACAAUAAGGGGGGUUCAAAUAAAAGAUAGGAAAAGAAACAAAAAAUUGUUACGGAUGUUAGUAUUGAGAGGGCUUUAUAGGAGAGUGAUGUGAAAUGCAAGAGUGAGCUUCGCGUUAAUAGAAAAACUUUCAAUAUUAUUUGUGAGAUGCUUAGAGACAUUGGGGGUUUGAGUGGAACAAAAACAUGUCGCUUCAAGAGAUAGUAGCCAUGUUUUUAUACACGUUGGCUCAUCAUAAGAAGAAUAGGUCUAUUGGACAUUACUUCUAUAGAAGUGGAGAAACCGUGAGCCGACAAUUUCACCUUUGUCUAAGGGCUUUUCUCAAGUUGCAUGAAGUACUACUUUACAAUCCCACACAAAUAUUGGAUGAUUGUGAAGAUGAAAGGUGGAAAUCCUUCAAGAAUUGUUUAGGGGCAUUAGAUGGGACUUACAUUAAUGUAAAUGUGCCUUCAAAAGAACGACCAAAGUAUAGAACAAGAAAAGGAACGAUUGCUAUGAAUGUAUUGGGUGUUUGUGCACCUAAUAUGCAAUUUAUUUAUGUUCUUCCUGGUUGGGAAGACUCGGCCCAUGAUAUGCGUGUACUUCGAAAUGCUCUUUCUAGACCAAACGGUUUUAGAGUACCUUGAGAUGGAGGCUAGUCAAGCUAAGGGUGAGGCAAGCAAUCGAGGUAGAGGUAAAAAUAAAAGGUAUUGGACGUAUGAAGCUCAUCAUCUUCUAUCAAGCUCCAACUAAUAUGAAGAAACAAUAUGCAAUUGAUCUUCUUAAGAAGAAGUAGAAAGUUUUGUCCUAAGUUGUUAUUGGAGUUAAUGUUUUAAUGGUUUUUAAAUACUUUUUUUUUAUUAUUUUUUUUUUUUUGAGAAUACUAGAAUUUCAAUGCUUUUGUAGUCAACAACUUAUGUGACUUUGCCUAUAUAUCUAGCAUAUGAUAUAUUAUGGUAAUCGGUUCAAAAAAUAUAUAUAUGUAUAUUAUGGUAAUUAGUGUUGCUCUACAUUGUAUAAUGUAUAUCAAAAGUUAGCCAAGACAUCAAAAAUUAGAAGGAAAACUAUUUGUUUCCAAGUUAUCUAUGCCAAACAAGAGGAAAGGGAUUGAUUACAAUUAUUUACGUUUCCUUAGUAAUACCAAACAACUAGUAAGGGUAACACUAUAUAUUACCCUUUCCCCUUCUAAUUUGUUUCCAUUCCCUUACAUUUACUAAUUUGAUACCAAACACCCCCUAAAUGUGUAACCAUUGUAAUUGUUUUCAAUCUCAACCAUUAAAAUUUUAAGGAUAAAUCUUGUUCACUUAUUUGUUUGACUAUGAAAAAAAAAAAUAUUUUAAAAAUAACUGUUUGUUUUUAUGAAAAAAAUAUCAUGUUUUUGUCGCCAAAUACAAGCAGUUUCGAUUUCUCUACCAAGCAAAUCUCUCAAUCUCCAUUAAUGGUACAACAACAAAUUACCAUUGUUAAAUUAUCAUCGAGAAUCGAAAUAUUAGAUAUUUUAUCCUUAACUCAGUAAGUCAGUAUCAUC